GGCUUGUUGUUCUAGUGUUAUGAUUCUCGCUUUGGGUGCGAGAGGUCCCGGGUUCAAAUCCCGGACGAGCCC